GCCUUCGUGGUGUAACGGCAGCACACUCGGCUCUUAUUCAAGAAGGUCCAGGUUUGAGUCCAGGCGAGGGUA
rnacentral:tRNA from 1 species